rnacentral:rRNA from 1 species
AGUGUACGCUGGCGGUAGGCCUAACACAUGCAAGUCGAACGGCAGCACAGGAGAGCUUGCUCUCUGGGUGGCGAGUGGCGGACGGGUGAGGAAUACAUCGGAAUCUACUCUGUCGUGGGGGAUAACGUAGGGAAACUUACGCUAAUACCGCAUACGACCUACGGGUGAAAGCAGGGGACCUUCGGGCCUUGCGCGAUUGAAUGAGCCGAUGUCGGAUUAGCUAGUUGGCGGGGUAAAGGCCCACCAAGGCGACGAUCCGUAGCUGGUCUGGGAGGAUGAUCAGCCACACUGGAACUGCGACACGGUCCAGACUCCUACGGGAGGCAGCAGUGGGGAAUAUUGGAUAAUGGGCGCAAGCCUGAUCCAGCCAUACCGCGUGGGUGAAGAAGGCCUUCGGGUUGUAAAGCCCUUUUGUUGGGAAAGAAAUCCAGCUGGCUAAUACCCGGUUGGGAUGACGGUACCCAAAGAAUAAGCACCGGCUAACUUCGUGCCAGCCGCCGCGGUAA